UUAGAGUUUGAUCCUGGCUCAGGACGAACGCUGGCGGCGUGCCUAAUACAUGCAAGUCGAACGAGGCUUUUUGAUUGAUGCUUGCAUCAGCUAAAAAGCCGAGUGGCGAAUGGGUGAGUAACACGUGGGCAACCUGCCUUGAAGCGGGGGAUAACAUUUGGAAACAGAUGCUAAUACCGCAUAACCACAAAAGCCCCCUGGUUUUUGUGUCAAAGAUGGUUCUGCUAUCACUUCGAGAUGGACCCGCGGCGUAUUAGCUUGUUGGUGAGGUAACGGCUCACCAAGGCAAUGAUACGUAGCCGAACUGGGAGGUUGAUCGGCCACAUUGGGACUGAGACACGGCCCAAACUCCUACGGGAGGCAGCAGUAGGGAAUCUUCCACAAUGGACGCAAGUCUGAUGGAGCAACGCCGCGUGAGUGAAGAAGGUCUUCGGAUCGUAAAACUCUGUUGUCAGAGAAGAACGUGCGUGAGAGCAACUGUUCAUGCAGUGACGGUAUCUGACCAGAAAGUCACGGCUAACUACGUGCCAGCAGCCGCGGUAAUACGUAGGUGGCAAGCGUUGUCCGGAUUUAUUGGGCGUAAAGGGAACGCAGGCGGUCUUUUAAGUCUGAUGUGAAAGCCUUCGGCUUAACCGAAGUCGUGCAUUGGAAACUGGGGGACUUGAGUGCAGAAGAGGAGAGUGGAACUCCAUGUGUAGCGGUGAAAUGCGUAGAUAUAUGGAAGAACACCAGUGGCGAAGGCGGCUGUCUGGUCUGCAACUGACGCUGAGGCUCGAAAGCAUGGGUAGCGAACAGGAUUAGAUACCCUGGUAGUCCAUGCCGUAAACGAUGAGUGCUAAGUGUUGGGAGGGUUUCCGCCCUUCAGUGCUGCAGCUAACGCAUUAAGCACUCCGCCUGGGGGAGUACGACCGCAAGGUUGAACUCAAAAGGAAUUGACGGGGGCCCGCACAAGCGGUGGAAGCAUGUGGUUUAAUUCGAUGCUACGCGAAGAACCUUACCAGGUCUUGACAUCUUCUGCUAACCUA
rnacentral:rRNA from 1 species